CCUCCUCUGAUCCUUUUUCUCUUCUCUGCUAGCCCAGGACUUCUGGAAUCAAGUCCCAAAGGGGAGAAAUGAUCUGGAGUGGAGAGGUGUUGCGUGGUGUGGACAGCCAGAGGGAGUGGCGAGUGAAAGUGAGAGAAAAGAAAUGCUUGAUGACUGAAGAUAUUAAAAAAAAAAAAAGCCAAAGCUUCUCUCACCGGCCAGAAUGAACGGAGAGGUUCUGGCCCAAGAACUUCAUCAGCGGCGGGGGCCCAUGUUCCCAGAUGCAUCGUGCAGCCCAGGCUUCAGCUGAUCUGGCUAGCCGCUCAUCCCAGACCUAGUGGGAGGAAUCACAGAAUACCGGAGUUAGAAAGGACCCCAAAGGAGAUCUGCCCAACCUGUGCCUGGCAGGAAUCUCCUCUACAAAGGGUCAUUCGAAGCUCCUAGUAACAGGAAGCCCCCUCCCUGCCUCACAAGGGAUCCCAUUCCACUUCUGAACGGCUCUGAUUGUCAGAAAACAAUUCUUCCUUAUGUUGAAUUGUGAAAUCAGCCUCUGCAAGUAGUUCAGUACCUCUUCCAAUCAAUCAGCCAACAAGUAUUUACUAAGCGCCUCCUAAAUGCACCAGAUGUUGUGCUGGGUGCUGAGGAUAUGAAGGAAGCCAGAAAUGAAAAGGCCUUCUAGGAGGCCUUGGUUUCCCAAAACAGAAACUGGAAAUAUUAAGUCUUGUUCCUCUCUUCACUGCUGGAGAUCUGUACCAGUAGACUGGUUGGAGCAGUCUAGUAAAAGGACAGGGUACAUCAGAGUGCCUCGACCCACCACACUUGGGCUGAAUUACACCAGAUACCUGAAUUUGUAUCCCAUCUGCCUGUAUGUACAUGAACUAUCGCUUCCAUGAGUGCAUAACCAUUUUUCAUCUAAAUGUUGCAUCUUUUCAAGCUCUGAGAACAGGACCUGAAGAGAACAGGAAUUUACAUGUCAGUAGCACCUCCAGCUAUUAGGUGGGUCCCAGCAGCCAGAACAGGACGCUGGUUAAUGAUAGAAAGGUCAUCCAGGACAGCUGGGAAUCAGGAAAGAAGAGAAAAGAAGAUUUCUGAGAAGAUCAAACAAGUAUCUCUAAAGUCCUUGCAUUUUACUUACGGGUAGACUUGCAAGAUCCUCCCUCACAACCUGUUUAUUCUAACCUUACACACAAUACUAAUAAUCUCGGUUAUCAGCAGGUUAGGAAUAGGGUCGGAGGUGGUGGUAGAUGAAGAGGGCCUGAUGAUAAUAACACACGUUUCUAAAGUGCUUGCGUUUUUCACGAUAGCACAAUCAGUUAGGUAGUAAAAGUGGUAUUAUUCCCAUUUAACAGUAAGGCAAUUGAGGUUCAGAGUGUUUUAAGGACUUUCCCAAGAUCACAAAAUGAAUAGGCAGAAAACCCAGAAUUGAAAACCGGCUAACAGAAUCUUAGGGUGUCAGAGUCGGAAGGAAUCUCAGAGACCAUUUGCUCUCACUUAGACCAGAACAUGAAUCCACUCUUAGAACAUCUCUGACAAAUAGUCAUCUGGCAUCUAUUUGAAGACAUCCAUGGAGGAGGAAACUCCAAUUUCUUAACAUGAGCCAUUACAUUUUUGGACAAUUCUGAAUGUUAAGAAGUUUUUCCUCUCAUCAAACAAAUAAUUUGCCUCUCUGUUACUUCCUCCACUACCCCAAGUUCUGCCCUCUUUCACCAAGCAAAAGAAAUCCAAUCCCUUUUCCACAUGAUGACUCUUCAAAUAUUUGAAGGCAAGCAUCAUGCUGCCCUAAAUUUCUCUUUUUCUGGCUUAGAUAGCCUUAGUUCUUCAAAUGAUCUUCCUAUGGCACAUUCUCCUACCCCUUCACCUCCCAGUUACUUUUCUCUACCCAUUCUCUAGGUCAUCUAAGCCAUUAUUAAAAUGUGAUUGCCAGGAAUGAAUUCUAGUUAUGGUCUCAAAUAUAACAGAAUGUUAUCAUCUUCCAUCAAUUGGGGAAUGGCUGAACAAGCUGCGGUAUAUGAAGGUAAUGGAAUACUAUUGUGCCAUAA